GCAAUGAUGAAAAUGAUGGUUUGAAUACAGAAAUGAGAAUACCUGUAACUACCUCUAAGAAGUUCUGAGCUU